UGAACUAUGAUGGAUGGCCAGU
rnacentral:piRNA from 1 species